UUGAUCCUGGCUCAGAAUCAACGCUGGCGGCGUGCCUAACACAUGCAAGUCGAACGCGAAAGUUUCCUUCGGGGAAUGAGUAGAGUGGCGCACGGGUGAUUAACACGUGGGUAAUCUGCCUCGAGGUGGGGAAUAACGGCCCGAAAGGGUCGCUAAUACCGCAUAACGCAGCGGCACCGCAUGGUGACAGUUGUUAAAGUGGAGGAUCUCGCAAGAGACUUCUCGCCGCGAGAGGAGCCCGCGCCCGAUUAGCUAGUUGGUGAGGUAACGGCUCACCAAGGCUACGAUCGGUAGCCGGCUUGAGAGGGCGGUCGGCCACACUGGCACUGAGACACGGGCCAGACUCCUAUGGGAGGCAGCAGUGGGGAAUUUUGGGCAAUGGGCGAAAGCCUGACCCAGUAACGCCGCGUGGAGGACGAAAUCCCUCUGGGAUGUAAACUCCGAAAGUCUGGGAAGAAAUCCGUACGGGUAAUAUCCGGACGGGAUGACGGUACCUGAUUUAAGCCCCGGCUAACUACGUGCCAGCAGCCGCU
rnacentral:rRNA from 1 species